UAUAAACGUUCGAUAGCUAGCCUGUCCACUAACUAUCGAUUGCGUGUUAAUAUCGCCGUCGAAAGCACAUUCUCGUUGAUCAACACUGUAUGUCAAUUCGGCCAUUCAGAGUUUAUUCUCAGGAAGUGAAAACUCUGCUCCAGUUCAGCUCAGCUUGUUAAACUUGUCGGAAGUGAAUAAAAAAUAUAAUCUUUCUUUGAAUAAAUGUUUCCAAUUGUUAAAAGAAUCAAGAAAUAUUAACUAAAUCUGCGGUUAACAAAUCUUAAAGUAUAAUUAACCAGCCAGUGAAGUUUUGUGCGAGGUGUUACCCCACGUGGUACUGAAGUCCCGCGUGGCCUGUGACGCCUCAUGGGGAAAGUAGGUUAGGUGUAUCCCAAUACCGAAAUUUCACAGAUAUCUCAAAUUGGUGCCGCCGAGUGGACAGUACGACCGAAAAAUCGCAACUCUAAAUUAUCAGAAUUGGCUCUGCCAUUCAGUUCUCGAAAAUUUUAUAGACAUCUCAAACUGAGCAAAAAAACUUCCAACUAUGACUUGCUGUAACUCAUGUGCCACCGAGUGGACAGUCCGACUGAAAACAGGCAACGUUGGAUUCUCAGAACUGGCUCUGAUGCCUAACCUCCAGAACAAGAAUUCUUGCAACAAUGGCUAGCUAUAACGCAUGUGCCGCCGAGUGGACAGUCGGACUGAAAAAUAGCAACCUUGGAUUGGCGCUGCUAUUAAAGCAAUCUGAAACCCCAUGCAGCUCUCGAAAAUUUUACAAAUAUCUCAAAUUGAACAAAAAACUCCCAAUAAUGACUUGCUAUAACCCGUUUGCCACCGAGUGGACAGUCCUGUUGAAAAAUGGCAGCACUGUCAGCAGCGCAGAGAAGUGUGCCACCUGGCCUCUAAAAAUGAUCAAAAGUGGACGAUUCUCAAAAUAUUGUCUAUAUCAUAAUCGUUAAACCAAAUCUGAAUCAAAUUAUUACUUACUAAGCUGUUAGGAAAACCUAAUCCACUAUCCACCAUGGACCUAUGGCUUUUUAAGGACAUCGCUAAGAAGAUCGUUUCGAAGUUAACAUUGUCCCACCUUCAUAUUAUGCAUCACGGGAGGUAAAAUGAUUUGAUUGGCGACAGUCUCGUUCGUUAGAUGUGACUAAUAAAUGCGAAGCGAAUGAUCGGUGGGCUCCAGUUUUUGCACAAUUUUCUGCUCAUUGAGGCAAUGACCGGGCAAAAGUGCAAAAACUUGAGACCUUCCAUCAUUAGCUACGCUUCUCUUGGUCAUAUCUAACCAAUGAGGAUGUCGUUAAUCCGAUCGUUUAACCUCCGAGUUUCAAAUUUUGAAGGUGGGCCAAUGUUGUCUUCUAAACGAUCUGCUUGCCAAGGUCCUCAAGCAGCCAUGGGCUCAUGGAGGUAAUGGGUUAAGAAUUUCAACGGAUUGGAAAUUAAAAUUUGAUUUUAAAAUGUAUUUUUAAACAUUUAUAUGUUCGAUUUAAGUUCAAGGGAUUUACACAACCAAAG